rnacentral:lncRNA from 1 species
CCUGUUUUCUUAAUGUCACUAGCCAAUCAUUUGCUGAUUACUAAGUAGUCCAAUCAAUCCCUAUUAUAAGUCUCACAUCUGUGGAAGCAUUAGUGAGACUAUAGAGAUGGAGAUCAAAAAGGCAGAACCUGAAUCUGGAAUCCUUGAAUUUCUCAAGGAGUGGACCUGGAAUCAAUUCCAGUCUUCUAAUGGAAAGUCAAAGCACUUACAUGUAUCUAAUGCAGAAAAUUUAGUCAAUCAGAUGAUCAUUGUGGAAGCAUAUUAUGCUUCUACUGCAUUACUUUGGGCACAUCCAAUAUUUAUAAAAAUUCAGCAGUAGAUCACUGCAGUGGAAAUGUACUAUGCUUCCAUUGUUUUUCCAAGAGGAGUCUGGGUCUGGCUCAUUGAAUCCAUUCUUUACAUGAUGGCUGCAAGGUGCAGUUGGCUCUUGGUGGAAGGAAAUGCUCCAUUGUUUAGUAUUCAUUGAGUGGAAAAUAGCAUAAAAACCACACAGGAAAAAAUACAGCCAAUUUUUGGCACCUGUUCACAUGACAUGUUAGCAGUUCAUAUCUCAGAAAUGGCCUUGUUGUUUAUCUCUGAGUGGAAAGUGGCAUAAAGUGGAAAUAAUCAAAAUAUAUCCAAAAGCUGAUAUUUACUGUUCUUUACCAGUUUCAUAAAAUAUUCAAUGUAAGAAAGCAGUUUAAUGAAAAUUAAUUAAAAAAUCUAUGACAUAAUGUGAUAUUAAAUGUUU